rnacentral:misc_RNA from 1 species
GAAAUGCGAUAAGUAAUGUGAAUUGCAGAAUUCAGUGAAUCAUCGAAUCUUUGAACGCACCUUGCGCUCCUUGGUAUUCCUUGGAGCAUGCCUGUUUGAGUAUCAUGAAAUCUUCAAAGUAAAUCUUUUGUUAACUCAAUUGGUUUCUACUUUGGUAUUGGAGGUCUUUGCAGCUUCACACCUGCUCCUCCUUGUUCAUUAGCUGGAUCUCAGUGUUAUGCUUGGUUCCACUCGGCGUGAUAAGUUAUCUAUCGCUGAGGACACUGUAAAAGGUGGCCAAGGUAAAUGCAGAUGAACCGCUUCUAAUAGUCCAUUGACUUGGACAAUACUUUUAUGAUCUGAUCUCAAAUCAGGUAGGACUACCCGCUGAACUUAAGC